rnacentral:rRNA from 1 species
GACGAACGCUGGCGGCGUGCUUAACACAUGCAAGUCGAACGGAAAGGCCCUGCUUUUGUGGGGUGCUCGAGUGGCGAACGGGUGAGUAACACGUGAGUAACCUGCCCUUGACUUUGGGAUAACUUCAGGAAACUGGGGCUAAUACCGGAUAGGAGCUCCUGCUGCAUGGUGGGGGUUGGAAAGUUUCGGCGGUUGGGGAUGGACUCGCGGCUUAUCAGCUUGUUGGUGGGGUAGUGGCUUACCAAGGCUUUGACGGGUAGCCGGCCUGAGAGGGUGACCGGCCACAUUGGGACUGAGAUACGGCCCAGACGCCUACGGGAGGCAGCAGUGGGGAAUAUUGCACAAGGGGCGGAAGCCGGAUGCAGCAACGCCGCGUGCGGGAUGACGGCCUUCGGGUUGGAAACCGCUUUCGCCUGUGACGAAGCGUGAGUGACGGGAAUGGGUAAAGAAGCACCGGCUAACUACGU